CCUACGGGAGGCAGCAGUAGGGAAUAUUGCUCAAUGGGGGCAACCCUGAAGCAGCAACGCCGCGUGGAGGAUGAAGGUUUUCGGAUUGUAAACUCCUUUUGUUAGGGAAGAUAAUGACGGUAUCUAACGAAUAAGCACCGGCUAACUCCGUGCAAGCAGCCGCGGUAAUACGGAGGGUGCAAGCGUUACUCGGAAUCACUGGGCGUAAAGGGCGCGUAGGCGGGAUAGCAAGUCAGAGGUGAAAUCCUAUGGCUUAACCAUAGAACUGCAGUUGAAACUGUUAUUCUAGAGUAUGGGAGAGGUAGGAGGAAUUCUUGGUGUAGGGGUGAAAUCCGUAGAGAUCAAGAGGAAUACUCAUUGCGAAGGCGACCUGCUAGAACAUAACUGACGCUGAUGCGCGAAAGCGUGGGGAGCAAACAGGAUUAGAUACCCGAGUAGUC
rnacentral:rRNA from 1 species